rnacentral:pre_miRNA from 1 species
CCCCCACCCAUGUGUGUAGAACCCCAAAUGAUCACCAUUAAAGUUGGUACGGAUCUCUAGAAAAGUCAAGUCUCACACCUAUGUGAUAACUUUUCUAGAGAUCCGUGCCAACUUUAAUGGUGAUCUUUUGGGGUCCUACACACAAGGGUGGGGG